AACGCACAUUGCGCCCCCUGGUAUUCCGGGGGGCAUGCCUGUCCGAGCGUCAUUGCUGCCCAUCAAGCGCGGCUUGUGUGUUGGGCCGCCGUCCGCCUUCCCCCCCGGGGGGAGGGGGACGGGCCCGAAAGGCAGCGGCGGCACCGCGUCCGGUCCUCGAGCGUAUGGGGCUCAGUCACCCGCUCUGGAGGCCCGGCCGGCGCCCGCCGACCCCCAACCUUAUUCUAACCAGGUUGACCUCGGAUCAGGUAGGGAUACCCGCUGAACUUAA
rnacentral:misc_RNA from 1 species